rfam:Picea glauca, whole genome shotgun sequence.
GGGCAUUUGGUCUAGUGGUAUGAUUCUCUCUUUGGGUGCGAGAGGUCCCGAUUUCGAUUCUCGGAAUGCCCC